GGUCGGUUAGUUUAACGGUAAAACCGGGCUUUUACACGGCUCUGUCGGGGGUUCGACUCCCUCACCGACUACCA
rnacentral:tRNA from 1 species